GGGCCUCGCCGAGCCCUUUCAUGCUCAAGCCUUCAGGAGGCCCCAGCAGGUGCGGGCACUUCUCCGGGAGCUGCCCGUGGCCCCACGCACAGAGCUGACGGCCCCCGGGGCUCCGGCCUAGUCAGGGGUCAGAGGGUGACAGCCCCCAUUAUGAGAGGUCACGUCCACAGGACGAUUCAUGGGAUGCCCCCGCCCUCCUCUAGAUAUGGGUACAUCGUAGCUGCAUGUGGUGACGACGACACGGUCCAGCGUUGGAAACUGGCCAUCUCCUGCAUGCUGGAAAUAUGGCUGGAUUAUUAUGGGGACGACUUUUGUCAGCUCCCCGAAUUUCCCUCCCUUAUGAAAAUUCUGCAAUUCGUAAGACAGCACAUGCCAGGUUCAGACGUGGAACUCCGUGCCCGGCGUAACCUCCAGCAAUUCAGACGCCUCCAUACAGUGGAGCCAGAGGCUGGGGGUGAGGAGGCUUGGGGGUGACUGAGCUGGGGACAGGGUGGGCCCCGCCGAUCCAGCCUCCAUGCAGCUGGGCUGGGAGCAGGGGGUGGGCUCACACUUCACCCCACGGGCUGCAGCCUGGGGACACCUCCCAGGGCUCAUGCCCUCACGCACGUGGAGCAGUGGGAAGAGUGGUCUUGACUUGGGAGGCACGUGGAACGUCCGUCCUAAUGGGGAUACUUUGCCUUCCUGGAGCUACAGCUUC
rnacentral:lncRNA from 12 species